GACGAACGCUGGCGGCGUGCUUAACACAUGCAAGUCGAACGGAAAGGCCCUGCUUUUGUGGGGUGCUCGAGUGGCGAACGGGUGAGUAACACGUGAGUAACCUGCCCUUGACUUUGGGAUAACUUCAGGAAACUGGGGCUAAUACCGGAUAGGAGCUCCUGCUGCAUGGUGGGGGUUGGAAAGUUUCGGCGGUUGGGGAUGGACUCGCGGCUUAUCAGCUUGUUGGUGGGGUAGUGGCUUACCAAGGCUUUGACGGGUAGCCGGCCUGAGAGGGUGACCGGCCACAAUGGGACUGAGAUACGGCGCAGACGCGUACGGGAGGCAGCAGUGGGGAAUAUUGCACAAUGGGCGGAAGCCUGAUGCAGCAACGCCGCGUGCGGGAUGACGGCCUUCGGGUUGUAAACCGCUUUCGCCUGUGACGAAGCGUGAGUGACGGUAAUGGGUAAAGAAGCACCGGCUAACUACGUG
rnacentral:rRNA from 1 species